CCAAAACACUUUCUCUACCUCCUUCUCUUCUUCUUCUUCUUCUCUUCUUCUUCUCUUCUUCUUCUUCUCUGUGGAAGAUCCACACGUCGCCCCUCUUCGAUUUUUCCUCCCUUCUGCUAACCAUCUCUCUCCCUCUCUCACGCACGCCGGAAAAGACUAGACUUUCGGUCAACAACGCGCGAAAUCCCUCUCUUUCUCUCCUUCAGCCGACGCAACACCCCAACACCCCUUGCACCGCUGACUCACUGGAAAUCAAGGCCAAGGGAGAUGUCAUGGCUAUGGGCUGAAGCUUUGAGAAAAAGAGAAUGAAAAAUGAAAUUUGCUUUGAUUGAAGGAUAGAGGGAAGUGAUUAUUGAUAAUUAUAGGGCUUGAAGAAUCCUCGAGAGAGUGACAAUGAUUGUUGAAUUAUUAUGAAAAUGCAACAUUGAAAAGGGUUGGAAGGGCUCCAAGUAUCAAGUCUACCCUAAUCUAUUGGCAUAUUUGAGGAGAUUGUUGAAGUUUGUUUAAUGAUCAACAUUGAAAAGGAAUUGGUGCAAGGGUUUGGAUCAAGAGGCUGCCGCAGUUGUUGUGGCAAGAUUAACUUCAUAAAAAAUGGAGAUGGAGGUUCAACCGGAGUCGACAACUUCAUGAGUUUUCUUUCAAAGAACAUUUUCAG